CAGCAGCCGCGGUAAUACGUAGGGUGCGAGCGUUAAUCGGAAUUACUGGGCGUAAAGCGUGCGCAGGCGGUUCGUUAAGACAGAUGUGAAAUCCCCGGGCUUAACCUGGGAACUGCAUUUGUGACUGGCGAGCUAGAGUAUGGCAGAGGGGGGUAGAAUUCCACGUGUAGCAGUGAAAUGCGUAGAGAUGUGGAGGAAUACCGAUGGCGAAGGCAGCCCCCUGGGCCAAUACUGACGCUCAUGCACGAAAGCGUGGGGAGCAAACAGGAUUAGAUACCCGUGUAGUCCCUGUCUCUUAUAC
rnacentral:rRNA from 1 species